AUUGAACGCUGGCGGCAUGCUUUACACAUGCAAGUCGAACGGUAACAGGGUGCUUGCACCGCUGACGAGUGGCGAACGGGUGAGUAAUGCGUCGGAACGUGCCGAGUAGUGGGGGAUAACGCAGCGAAAGUUGUGCUAAUACCGCAUACGUACUGAGGUAGAAAGUGGGGGACCUUCGGGCCUCACGCUAUUCGAGCGGCCGACGUCUGAUUAGCUAGUAGGUGAGGUAAAGGCUCACCUAGGCGACGAUCAGUAGCGGGUCUGAGAGGAUGAUCCGCCACACUGGGACUGAGACACGGCCCAGACUCCUACGGGAGGCAGCAGUGGGGAAUUUUGGACAAUGGGCGAAAGCCUGAUCCAGCCAUGCCGCGUGUCCGAAGAAGGCCUUCGGGUUGUAAAGGACUUUUGUCAGGGAGGAAAUCCCUAGCGUUAAUACCGCUGGGGGAUGACAGUACCUGAGGAAUAAGCACCGGCUAACUACGUGCCAGCAGCCGCCGUAAAAC
rnacentral:rRNA from 1 species